rnacentral:rRNA from 1 species
GACGAACGCUGGCGGCGUGCUUAACACAUGCAAGUCGAACGGGCCUUGUCCCCUUUUUUUUGGGGGUGGGGUUAGUGGCGAACGGGUGAGUAACACGUGAGUAACCUGCCCCUCACUUCUGGAUAACCGCUUGAAAGGGUGGCUAAUACGGGGUGUUCUGGCCUGCUCGCAUGGGUGGGUUUGGAAAGAUUCGACCGGUUUUGGUUGUUUUGGUGGGGAUGGGCUCGCGGCCUAUCAGCUUGUUGGUGGGGUGAUGGCCUGCCAAGGCUUUGACGGGUAGCCGGCCUGAGAGGGUGGGCGGUCACACUGGGACUGAGACACGGCCCAGACUCCUACGGGAGGCAGCAGUGGGGAAUAUUGCACAAUGGGCGCAAGCCUGAUGCAGCGACGCCGCGUGAGGGAGGGAGGCCUUCGGGUUGUGAACCUCUUUCGCCAGUGAAGAAGGUCCUGCUCUUUGUGGUGGGGUUGACGGUAGCUGGGUUAAUGAAGCGCCGGCUAACUACGUG